rnacentral:rRNA from 1 species
AGAGUUUGAUCUGGCUCAGAUUGAACGCUGGCGGCAUGCCUUACACAUGCAAGUCGAACGGCAGCACGGGGGCAACCCUGGUGGCGAGUGGCGAACGGGUGAGUAAUACAUCGGAACGUGUCCUGUAGUGGGGGAUAGCCCGGCGAAAGCCGGAUUAAUACCGCAUACGAUCUAUGGAUGAAAGCGGGGGAUCUUCGGACCUCGUGCUAUAGGGGCGGCCGAUGGCAGAUUAGCUAGUUGGUGGGGUAAAGGCCCACCAAGGCGACGAUCUGUAGCUGGUCUGAGAGGACGACCAGCCACACUGGGACUGAGACACGGCCCAGACUCCUACGGGAGGCAGCAGUGGGGAAUUUUGGACAAUAGGGGCAACCCUGAUCCAGCAAUGCCGCGUGUGUGAAGAAGGCCUUCGGGUUGUAAAGCACUUUUGUCCGGAAAGAAAUCCUAGAGGCUAAUAUCCUGUGGGGAUGACGGUACCGGAAGAAUAAGCACCGGCUAACUACGUGCCAGCAGCCGCGGUAAUACGUAGGGUGCGAGCGUUAAUCGGAAUUACUGGGCGUAAAGCGUGCGCAGGCGGUUCGCUAAGACCGAUGCGAAAUCCCCGGGCUUAACCUGGGAACUGCAUUGGUGACUGGCGGGCUAGAGUAUGGCAGAGGGGGGUAGAAUUCCACGUAGCAGUGAAAUGCGUAGAGAUGUGGAGGAAUACCGAUGGCGAAGGCAGCCCCCUGGGCCAAUACUGACGCUCAUGCACGAAAGCGUGGGGAGCAAACAGGAUUAGAUACCCCAGUAGUCC